UGGGGAAUAUUGGACAAUGGGCGAAAGCCUGAUCCAGCCAUGCCGCGUGUGUGAAGAAGGUCUUCGGAUUGUAAAGCACUUUAAGUUGGGAGGAAGGGCAUUAACCUAAUACGUUAGUGUUUUGACGUUACCGACAGAAUAAGCACCGGCUAACUCUGUGCCAGCAGCCGCGGGAAUACAGAGGGUGCAAGCGUUAAUCGGGAUUACUGGGCGUAAAGCGCGCGUAGGUGGUUUGUUAAGUUGGAUGUGAAAUCCCCGGGCUCAACCUGGGAACUGCAUUCAAAACUGACUGACUAGAGUAUGGUAGAGGGUGGUGGAAUUUCCUGUGUAGCGGUGAAAUGCGUAGAUAUAGGAAGGAACACCAGUGGCGAAGGCGACCACCUGGACUAAUACUGACACUGAGGUGCGAAAGCGUGGGGAGCAAACA
rnacentral:rRNA from 1 species